rnacentral:rRNA from 1 species
CGGCGGACGGGUGAGUAACACGUGGAUAACCUACCUAUAAGACUGGGAUAACUUCGGGAAACCGGAGCUAAUACAGGAUAAUAUAUUGAACCGCAUGGUUCAAUAGUGAAAGACGGUUUUGCUGUCACUUAUAGAUGGAUCCGCGCCGCAUUAGCUAGUUGGUAAGGUAACGGCUUACCAAGGCAACGAUGCGUAGCCGACCUGAGAGGGUGAUCGGCCACACUGGAACUGAGACACGGUCCAG